rnacentral:rRNA from 1 species
UACGUAGGGUGCAAGCGUUAAUCGGAAUUACUGGGCGUAAAGCGUGCGCAGGCGGUUAUGCAAGACAGAGGUGAAAUCCCCGGGCUCAACCUGGGAACUGCCUUUGUGACUGCAUAGCUAGAGUACGGUAGAGGGGGAUGGAAUUCCGCGUGUAGCAGUGAAAUGCGUAGAUAUGCGGAGGAACACCGAUGGCGAAGGCAAUCCCCUGGACCUGUACUGACGCUCAUGCACGAAAGCGUGGGGAGCAGACAGG